CAGGACACAAUUGGAGAAACUGAUUAUUUUACCAAGGCCUUGACUGGAAUGGUAUGCUUCCCUUUAAGGAAUCAAACUUGACUUGUAGAGCCAAUAGAAGCCCCUUGGGAAAACUGACCUCAUACCUUGUCGACACAAUCCCUGUGCAGGGUUCCCGAUCUGCCAUGUGAAGUGCUGGCUUCCCUUUGCCUUCCACCAUGAUUGUAAGUUUCCUGAGACAUCCCCAGAUGCCAAGCAGAUGCCACCAUCACAUUUCCUGUACAGCCUGUGGAACUGUGAGUCAAUUAAACCUUUUUUCUUUAUAAAUUACCCAGUCUCAGGUAUUUCUUUAUAGCAGUGCGAAAGCAGACUAAUACACUGGUCUUUGGUAUAAAUGGCCUCUUUUGUGCUUUGCCCAUUUAGAAUUACCACUAGAGAUAGUGCUUCAUUAGGAAAAGAAGUGGCC
rnacentral:lncRNA from 10 species